GAAUUUUGGACAAUGGGCGAAAGCCUGAUCCAGCAAUGCCGCGUGCAGGAUGAAGGCCUUCGGGUUUUAAACUGCUUUUGUACGGAACGAAAAGCUUUGGGCUAAUACCCUGUAUACAUUACGGUACCGUAAGAAUCAGCACCGGCUUACUACUUGCCAGCAGCAGCGGUAAUUAGUAGGGUGCAAGCGUUAAUCGGAAUUACUGUGCGUAAAGCGUGCGCAGGCGGGUUUGUAAGACAGAGGUGAGAUCACCGGGCUCAACCUGGGAACUGCCUUUGUGACUGCAAGUCUAGAGUACGGCAGAGGGGGGUGGAAGACCGCGUGUAGCAGUGAAAUGCGUAGAUAAGCGGAGGAACACCGAUGGCGAAGGCAACCCCCUGGGCCUGUACUGACGCUCAUGCACGAAAGCGUGGGGAGCAAACA
rnacentral:rRNA from 1 species